rnacentral:rRNA from 1 species
GUCUAUGGCCAUACCACCCUGAACACGCCCGAUCUUGUCUAGUGUCGGAAGCUAAGCAGGGUCGGGCCUGGUUAGUACUUGGGUGGGAGAAAUAUUUUUAAAAUAAAAGGUAACAAUGUUCA